UUUUUUUUUUUUUUUUUUUUUUUUUUUUGUCUUUUUGCUAUGUCUUUGGGCCGCUCCCGCGGCAUAUGGAGGUUCCCAGGCUAGGGGUUGAAUUGGAGCUGUAGCCACCGGCCUACGCCAGAGCCACAGCAGCGCGGGAUCCGAGCCGCGUCCGCAACCUACACCACAGCUCACGGCAAUGCCGAAUCGUUAACCCACUGAGCAGGGGCAGGGACCGAACCCGCAACCUCAUGGUUCCUAGUCGGAUUCGUUAACCACUGCGCCAUGACGGGAACUCCCCAUUUUUUCAUUUAUCUUUUUUCUUUGCUCAUGUACGUUUUGCAAGAGAUUUUCUUGUUAAAUUUUGAUGUAAUUAAGUUAAAUUUAAAUAUUUUCUCCUGUUGAUUUUGAAUUUUAAGUUUUAACUAGUAAGAUUUUCUCUGCUCCUAAAUUAGAGAAAGCCAUAUGUAUUUUUUUCUAGUACUUGUAUAAUUUCACUUCUUAAUAUUACAUUAUUUAAUGCAGUUAAGAGUUUAUAGUUUGUGGUUAAUACAGUUUUAUUGUUUCUUUUCCUGUGUAUGCUGCCAUAUUGUACUCAAAACUUCAUAUACUAAGACUAUUUCUGGAUUGUCCAUUCUGAUCUAUCCAUCUGUCCCUCUAUUGAUGCAUUACCAUGGGCCUUAUUUUUCUUAAACAGAGGCCAUAUAGUGUGUGUCAGUGUGUAGUGGGGCUACACUCCUAUCAAUGCAGUGAUUUCUUUUUCAGUGUUUUUUUUUUUGGGGGGAGGGGACUGGCUUCUUGCUUUUUUUCCAAAUAAAUUUUAUAAUCAGCUUAGUUACAAAAAUUUGAGCAUCAAAAAUAAAACCGAGAAAUUAGAAUUGCAUUAUGUUUAUAAAUUAGUAUAGAGAAGACUAAUAUAUUUAUGAUGUUUGGUUUUCCAAAAAAAAUGUGUUAUUUAUUUAUUUAUUCAAGUCUGCAUAUAUGCCUUUUAGGAGUACAUUAUGGUUUUAUAAAUGUAAAUUUUGUUUUGUUGAGUUGGAUGAGAUAUUUGUAUAUUUUAGAGAUUAGGCCCUUGUCAGUUGUGUCAUUGACAAAGAUUUUCUUCUAUUUUGUGUGUUGUCAUUUCAUUUUUUUAAAUGGUUUUCUUUGUUGUGCAAAGGCUUUUGAGUUUAAUUAUGAGGUCCUACUGUACAGCACCGGGAACUAUGUCUUUUCUCUUGGGAUAGAACAUGAAGGAAGAUAGUAUGAGAAAAAGAGUAUAUAUGUAUAUGACUGGGUCACUAUGCUGCACAGCUGAAUUUGGCACGACAUUAUAAAUCAAUGAUACUUUAAAAAAUUAUAUUUUUGGACAUUGAUUGCUAGCUUAAAUCUAAAUGUUUUAUUUAUGUAUGCAUUUAUUUAUUUACUAUUUUAAUUUUUAUUUUGGCUACAGUGUGCUGAAGCUUUAUUUGGGGUCUCAGUUCCUAGACCAGGGAUUAAACCACAGCUGCUAAAUCCUAACCACUUGACCACCAGGGAACUCCAUAAGUGUUUUGUUUUUAUGUCUGAUAUUUUAAAUGGCAAACAUAAAAAUAAAAUUUCUGGUUUUCCUGGUAAGAUUCUGCUUCUUAGAUUGAUACAUAUACAUUUUGUUGUACAGUUCCUUACACUAAGGUGGUGACCAUCAGUUCCUAUUUUAUGAAUGGAUGUUGUAUUUUGUAACAUCUUUUUUAAAAUGUAAAUACCCUUUCUUUUCUAGAAAUAUUUUCUUUGCUUAGCUUCCAGAAUUAUUUUGUUUCUUGUCCUGCCACCCUGACUUUCCUUUCUUUCCAGCCCUAAAAUAUGUGUUCUCCAGAGUCAGAUGAUUUGGAACCCAUGCCUCUAUCAUCUUACCUCCCUUGUCCAGGCUCCCAACUUACAUAGUCUUGAUAACUGGCAACUGUAUAUCUGCUAGACUGAGAUAAAUAUAACCACUUAUACAUCUUCUUCCUUUAAAUAUCUGAGAGCUCUCUUAGACCAAACUAAAUUCUUUCUUUACCUCAGAACUGCUGUUCAGCCCAUUAUCCUCCUCUCAGUUAUCUUAUGUUUCAUUGAACACUUAGAUGGGCAAACUAUAUGCCAGACAUUAUUCUAAGUGGUUUAUUUAUUUAUUUGUUUAUUUUUGGCUUUUUUUUUUUUAAGUGCACCCAUGGCAUAUGGAAGUUCCCAGGCUAGGGGUGGAAUCAGAGCUAUAGCUGCCGGCCUACACCACAGCCACAGCAAUGCAGAAUCCGAGCCAAGUCUGUGACCUGCACCAUAGCUCACAGCAACACUGAAUCUUUAACCCACUGAGCAGGGCCAGGGAUCAAACCCACUACCUCAUGGAUGCUAGUCAGAUUCGUUUCCGCUGAGCCACUAUGGGAACUCCUUGUUUAUUAACUAUUAAAUCGUUUAACACUCAUAAUAACUCUGUGAGGUAGUCACUAUUGCCAUUUUCAUUUUAUCAAUUAGGAGAACUCAGAUGGCUUGUGUGGUAUCUCAGUAAAUGAAAUCUCUAAGGUAAAUCUGGGCAGUUUGACUGAAAAGUGCAUUUUUCUGUUACAGAGUGAAUUUUUCUGCUUGUCCAAGCCAGUGAACUUGGAUUUGUCCUUAACUCUUCUAUUACUUUUGCACUGCAGAAAUAAUAUACUAGCAAAUCUAUUGACUCUUCCAUCAAGAUAUAUCCAGAAUCUGAACACUCUUUACCUCAUUCAUUCUAAACAUCUUGGUUUAACACACCAUAAUUUUUUGCCUGUAAUAUUGAAAUAAUCUCCAGCCAGCUUCCUGCCCCUCACACCUUUUGCUUCUAUAGUAUAUUUUCCACAGGGCUUGUCUUGUCCCAUUUCAAAUACAUCAGACCUCCCCUGUUCUUGGCUCCAAAAUUUCUGUUGUCUUCCCAAAUUGAUAAACAGAUGGCCAAAGUUCUAAAAUGACUUAAUCUCCUACAUGACCCAACCUUGUUAAUCUCAUCACUCUGUCUGUGGCAUCCUUAUGGUGCCUUGAAUACACCAAUCACUCUCUCAACUCAGAGCUUUUACAAUUACUCUGCCCUCUGCCCCCAGAUGUCUGCAUUUAGCUCUAAUAUUUCUUUUGACUCUAUACUCAUAGGUCACCUUGUGAAAGAAAGAACUUUCUUAAAUGUCUUUUACUAAAAUAAAAAUUUCGCUCAUCACUCUCACCUACUUUUUAAAAAAAUAGCACUUAUCAUCAUCUUCAAACAUUAUAUAUCUGUAUCUUUACUUUAGGUUUUUAAAUUUUCAGCACACCCAAUUAGGGAUUUUAACUUUUUCGCUGUUAGAUCUCCAGUGCCUGAAAAGGUACUUGAGGAAAAUUAAGUGCUCAGUAAUUAUUGGAUGGGUGAAUAAUUAAGUAAUAAGCAUGAUUCCCUUAACUUAAUUGAUGACAACUCUUUUUAUGGAGCAUCCCACACUGAGGAAUGCUAGUGUUCUAGGAAACACACGUUUGGGAAACUGGGUUAAAUAUUAGACAAUGCUGCUUUUACUUAAUCUUGAGGGGAAGCUCAUCGACUUCUAUUUUGCUUUGAUUGUUGACCAGCUAAAUGAUGAUACUGAAUUGAGUGAGUUUUCUUCUACCUCUGUUUACUUGUGUACUAACUGCAUCUAGAAUAUAUUCCUUCUCUUUAUUUGAACUCAACCCCUAUGUGUUGUACAGAAUAAAUAUCCCUCAAAUAUUGGUCUACUUUUCUUUUCCAUUCAUAUUCAGCAUAUUCAACAGUGUUGGCUAAUAGCUUUCAACUCAUAAUCCAUCUCAUAGAUUCAUUUGAGGCUAAGAAUCGAUGUGUUGAGAUGGAUUGGGCGGCUUAGUUAGAUGGAGUGUCUUUGAUAAGCAAUGAUUGCCUAGGGCCAGAAGGGUCAGUGAUAGCAUCAGUGACACACAUUUUUCAUGUUUGCAUUGCCAGGUAAGCUCUUGAGAGAAAUUAACUUAUUCAUUUUUAAAAAUCCACUUAUUAUCUAACAUAGAACAUUGCUUGUAUAUUGCAUGUAAUGGAUACUCCAUACAUAUUUGUUCUUUGUGUGAUUAUUCUAUGAAUGCUAAAGGAAUACUCAUUUGUAUCCUGAUCACGAAUCUCAUCCCUCUGUUUCCUAGGCAACUUUUUCCUUUAUCAGAGUAAAAGAUCAUUAAUCCCCAAUAUAUUGCUAGAUAAAUCUUUGUGUGGCACCCAAAUGUCACCCGUUUAUAUAUCAUAAAAUUGAGUUCUGCAAGUUAUCACAUGAGAGAAAAUUAUCUCUUUUACCUGUAUACCUUUCUUGUGCAAAAUAAAAAUAAUUUAUAUUUUUCUUGGGGUGAACAGGUGUUAUAAUACUCCUCAAAAUGACUUAUAAGACACUGCUAACCUCCAGUAGCUCAGUGAGAAUUCUUGUUAAACUAAAUAGAGGUCCACUUAUCAUUUUCCUAACUGAUAAAAUCAUGUUGUUGACAAGAAUAAGAGAUAUAAGUGAAAAAUUUAUAGUGACUAAUUUUAGAAGAAAGUUUCCCAAUGGGUUGCCUCAUUC
rnacentral:lncRNA from 1 species